rnacentral:tRNA from 1 species
GCAGUCGUGGCCGAGUGGUUAAGGCGAUGGACUCGAAAUCCAUUGGGGUGUCCUCGCACAGGUUCGAAUCCUGUCGGCUGCG